UCCGCAACAAGGGGACUGAAACACGGCCAAAAUCCUACGGGAAGGAGCAGUGGGAUUUUGACCAGUGGCGCAAGCCUGAUCCAGCCAUGCGCGUGUCGAAGAGGCUUCGGGUUGUAAAGGAUUUGUCAGGNNANGAAAAGGGCGGGGGUAAUACCCCCUGUUCUGAUGACGUACCCUGAAGAAUAAGCACCCGCUAACUACGUGCCAGCAGCCGCGGUAAUACGUAGGGUGCGAGCGUUAAUCGGAAUUACUGGGCGUAAAGCGGGCGCAGACGGUUACUUAAGCAGGAUGUGAAAUCCCCGGGCUCAACCUGGGAACUGCGUUCUGAACUGGGUGACUAGAGUGUGUCAGAGGGAGGUAGAAUUCCACGUGUAGCAGUGAAAUGCGUAGAGAUGUGGAGGAAUACCGAUGGCGAAGGCAGCCUCCUGGGAUAACACUGACGUUCAUGCCCGAAAGCGUGGGUAGCAAACAGGAUUAGAUACCCUGGUAGUCCACGCCCUAAACGAUGUCGAUUAGCUGUUGGGCAGCAUGACUGCUUAGUAGCGAAGCUAACGCGUGAAAUCGACCGCCUGGGGAGUACGGUCGCAAGAUUAAAACUCAAAGGAAUUGACGGGGACCCGCACAAGCGGUGGAUGAUGUGGAUUAAUUCGAUGCAACGCGAAGAACCUUACCUGGUCUUGACAUGUACGGAACCCUCCAGAGACGGAGGGGUGCCUUCGGGAGCCGUAACACAGGUGCUGCAUGGCUGUCGUCAGCUCGUGUCGUGGGAUGUUGGGUUAAGUCCCGCAACGAGCGCAACCCUUGUCAUUAGUUGCCAUCAUUAAGUUGGGCACUCUAAUGAGACUGCCGGUGACAAGCCGGAGGAAGGUGGGGAUGACGUCAAGUCCUCAUGGCCCUUAUGACCAGGGCUUCACACGUCAUACAAUGGUCGGUACAGAGGGUAGCCAAGCCGCGAGGUGGAGCCAAUCUCACAAAACCAAUCGUAGUCCGGAUUGCACUCUGCAACUCGAGUGCAUGAAGUCGGAAUCGCUAGUAAUCGCAGGUCAGCAUACUGCGGUGAAUACGUUCCCCGGGUUCUUGUACACACCGGCC
rnacentral:rRNA from 1 species